rnacentral:lncRNA from 1 species
CUUUUGAAUCUUUGAUCAACAUUUGAUCUUUGAUCAUGAUCUCAAUGCUUGAAACUGCAGCCUUUCUCCCUGUUCCUUACUGUAGAAGAAAUCAUCCUCAACUCAAGCAUGUGGGAAGAUGGGACACCCAACCCUUGGGCAUUGGAAAAAGAGGAAGAAGGGGAGAUGGCAUGGAGAAGGAGAAAGGGAGGUGAUCUGAUUUCUAACUUC